UACAGAGGUCUCAAGCGUUGUUCGGAUUCAUUGGGCGUAAAGGGCGCGUAGGCGGCGGGGUAAGUCUGGUGUGAAAUCUAGGAGCUCAACUCCUAAACUGCACUGGAUACUGCUCUGCUAGAGGACUGGAGAGGAGACUGGAAUUCACGGUGUAGCAGUGAAAUGCGUAGAUAUCGUGAGGAAGACCAGUGGCGAAGGCGGGUCUCUGGACAGUUCCUGACGCUGAGGCGCGAAGGCCAGGGGAGCAAACGGG
rnacentral:rRNA from 1 species